AUUUAGUGGGCGGAUGUGACUUGAAGAAACAAUUCGGCACUGAAGGAAUAACAACUGCAAUAUUGGAGUGUCGAAAUGACAAAAUGAAAACCUGGAAAACGAUGGAGAAGAACUGGUAAAGAAGUCGACUCAAAUAAAUGAUCAAGAAGGACUGUAAAGCUGUCAUCCCGUCCUGCAACCACCUAUGUGAAGACUGAUGAGCAAUGGCUAAGUAAGUUACAUGUAUAUGCGUUUUCUUUGUUUAAAUGGAUUAGUUCUGAUUGAGAUUUACAGACCAGAUAGAAGGAUAAAAAGCUGUCCACAGUUUGUCAGGAACAAGCAUGGAAAUAUUGCUUUCUUUUACCCUGAUUACAGUAUGAAGAAUGAAACUUGAAAUAUAAGUAAUCUCAGCAUGUGUAAUUGAUGUUUUCUGAAUCUUUCACCUUCAAGUUAAGGCUGGUAGGUAACAUCAGGUCAUGAUUAGGGAUGUAACAAUAUCAACAUUUCACUGUAUGAUAUCGUCACAGUGUUAAAGCCACAAUAAGAUAUUGUUACAAAAAUGUCAAAGUCCAAAGACAUGCACCUGGGGAUAGGUUGAUUGGCAACACUAAAUGGUCCCUGGUGUGUGAAUGUGAGUGUGAAUGUUGUCUGUCUAUCUGUGUUGGCCCUGCGAUGAGGUGGGGACUUAUCCUGGGUGUACACCGCCUUCCGCCCGAUUGUAGCUGAGAUAGGCACCAGCGCCCCCCGCGACUCCAAAGGGAAUAAGCGGUAGAAAAUGGAUAGAUGGAUGGUGUUAAAUGAAGUGGCAGGAAUGUUUAGGAUAAACAGACUUACUAUAAUUGAACACAAACAUAAUGUUCAUAUGUUGUAGUCAUAUUUAUUAUUAUAAACAGGUAUUUCAGGUGCAAAGGAAUGGUGCAGAAUUCCAGAAUUUCAAGUAACACACA